AAGCUCAUGAGCUCCAGUGUUACUGUGAGAUUACGUUCACACACAGUAAUGAAGUGGAUAGAGAAUCUCCAGAUUUGGUCAUUAUUUGUGUCAAUUUACCUGUUGACACAGGCUGAAUGUGGUCCUGUUGAAGCAGCCAUAGCUAGGAGUGAUGAAAAAGAUGCUCCGAUUAUGGCAAAUAGGGAUUUCACAAGAGAAAGAAGAUCCAUAGAGGUGUGUCUGUUUUUUUUAUCUUUAUUUUUUAUUUUUUUUACAUAUCAUUUCCAAUUUACAUGCAUGCACUUUUAAAUGUACUG